CAGCUCGCUCCCAGCUCGUCCUCUGCAAAGCUGCACCGGGCACUGCCCCGUGUCCGGUCGUGAGCUGCCGUGUGGGAAUUUGAAAAUGAGUUCCCAGGCAGUCCUUCCCCAGGACUGCUCCUUCCUGUUUCUAAUUGUUUUCGCUCAUUUGAGCUUUUGCUGUGUUCAGACCUGGUUUUCGCUUCCCCUCAGAGGACAAAUGUCUUGACCCCCAUUAAACCAUAACCCAGGUUUAAGAGUUUAGGAAAUCAUAUUCGACCUUCGCAUUUGUUAAUGCUUGGUGUAAGCUUAGGGUUUGAUUUGUGGAUUUCCAUUCCUACCUGGUUUCAAGGUGUGGUACCUGGCGGGUUUUUUGGCUAUUAUUUUCUGUGUGCUUUAAGCAUUUAUUCAGCACUAAAAGGGCUCAAAAAAUACUUACAAUUUAUUUUAUUGGAUAGGCCCCAUGCUGUUGUCAAGGCUGCUGCUCAGACUGGAGAAGAUUUCCAUCACAGCUUUGACUGUUUCAGGGUUGUUUUGACUCUCUCUCAAUCACAAGCUGAUAAGUACCAUAGCCUAGUUAGUUGUGCUACUUAUUUUUCUCCCCAAAUACUUACAUGGUUUUUUUCAUGUCAGGCUGGAAACUUUUAACUGAAGGGUGGAAAACCUCUGGGUAGGUGCAUCCCCACCUUUCUGGGACUGUGUCAAUGACCCCUCUGACAAUGGGAAUUCUUAAACUGUGCUAAGGCACAUGGGAAAUAAGGAGGUGAUUGGUGAUGGCCAAACCUGGCUUCGCCACAGCAAAUCAUGCCUGAAAAAUUUGCUGUAGAAACACAGAAGGACAUGUGUUCAGAGAAACAGGCAUGAUGUUCCCUCCAAAAUAAGAGGGAACUGAGAGUUAAAGUUGGAACUGAGGUAGGACCCAUAAUAUAUAUGGAAAUAAAGAGUAAAGUUGAGGGACAACUGUCCUGAAGGCAUAGAAAAUAUUAAUACUACUGAUACAGGACGCAAGGAUAAUUCCAUACUUGAAGCCACAUGAAAAAGUCACAAAAAGAAGGCAGAAGAGGAGUCAUACCUUGUGUAAGAAGGAGGAGGAUGACUGUGAAGAUGAUCUGACAGGUGAUUUCUCUGGCACCCGAGAAGAUCAGAAGGGACAUUCCCAAUGUGCUCUGCACACCCACACUUGGCUGUUCCAGCUCAAUCCAGACAGAGCUCUGCUACACUUGGUGGAGCUGUUCAAUGGGAUGACAUAUCCACAAAGAUGGGGUUUGUAACAAGGCCAGAACCCUGGGGUAAGUCCAUCAGCUGUCCCCCCUCCCUUGAAGUUUCUCAGUGAGCUGUGCACACAUGACCACACACUGCCUUUUUUCCCUCCCACGCACACAAACUCUGUGGUGACUUGUUCAGUGAGUUGUGACACGUAUUAAUGUUGUUGGCCUCUGAUGUUAUUUGGUUCCUUUUUCUGGGGGCUGACCACAGCAAUCUCUCUGGAAAGUUUCCCACCAAACUCAGAGAUAAUGUUCAUUAAAGCUCUCGCCAGUUUAGUCCCUCAAGCAUGGGUGUCUUUCUACUCAUGAAUGCAAGCAGCAAAGGAAAGCAAUAAAUCCCUUUGAAUAAUGUGCCAGUGCUCCACUGUUACAUAACUGUCAUCCCUAAGUAGAUGCCUAUUUAGCAACUAAAGAAUAUUGGCAAGGAUUUAUUUAAGGCAUUUAAAAAUAAUUUUGCUGCUUCCAGAACUUGGAUCAUUGACCCUUAACCUGAAAACUGGUUUUACAAAUGUCCUUGAAGGAACACAUUGAGUACUUAACUUCCCCUAUGAAAACUACAAAAAAAUUUUAUACCAAAAUACAAGGAUUAAGAGCCAGACCCACAACUUAUUUAGACUUGGACAGGGAUAUGAAAACACCUCAGUGAAUGUACUUGACAGGAAAAUUUCAUUUUACCAUAUACACUGUGUGACUACAAGAAAAGCAUGACAUAAGGAAUUGUUCAAUACUUUUUUAAUGCUAGAAUAUUUUCAUGGGCUUGCAAUGCUUAAAGAAAUGUGAAGUUUUUUUACUGAGGAACAUAGGGUAGCUACAAGGAGUCCAUGCAAUUAGCUUGUACCAGAAAGGAAACACCAGAUUUUGUUGGGAAGGGCUUUGAUCUUUCAUGGAGCUACAAGGAAUAUGGGCAGCUGGGAGAAGACCUUAUAACCCCUUUCUUAGCCUGGGGAAGUCUCUCUCCUGUGUAAGACUCCUGGUAGUGCUGGUUGGUUUGUUUGAACUCCUUGAUAUGGGAUAAUUCAAGUGAGUACUCGAUAUGCAGUUUUAUCAUCCUCUGCCUUUGGAUGCCUGAUUAAGCAUGACUGGUUGUGAUUGGGAUUUUAAAUACUAGCAGGCUUCCCAAUUACCUCAAUUAUCUUUACCCCAGGAAUGAUUGCUAUUUCCAGGCACGCAUCCUGUUGCCCACAGUUUCUCACACAGGUUUUUCUGGCACCUUUCUCACAGUAAUAGCCCUCAGCACCGCACACUACAGACUAAAAACUACCCACAGUACCUCCUGAGUACACUGCAGCACUGACACACUUUUUGCAUGCAUUUUCUAACUCUUCUGCUUCCACUCUAUUUUAGGAAUAUUCAGAAACUUUUCUUUUAAGAUUUAUUUAAAAUGAUAGCAGUCGUGCAUAUUGCUUAGAACACAUUCUAUCCAAAAAGCAUUUCUUAUGGUUUCUUCUCUGAGUAAAUAAACCAUCUGCAAAAGGGAGUUUAUGAAAAAAAAAAAAAACAGACUAGCACAAACUAUUUACAGUGAAACAAGUAGUGAUGCGUAAAAUUAUUUCUGUUCAGGUCCCUGUUCUAGUAGCUCUUCUGGACAUAACUUAUCUGCAAAACUACAGAAAAAUAUGAAAAAUAUUUUAUUAAUUUCAAAUGUAUGCCCUGUUAUGUCAUUUUGUAGAGAAUAUUCCCUAAACCAUAUGAGACAUACCUAAGUUUCUGUGCCAAGAUCUGUAGUAAUAUUUUGGCUUGUAAUGCCUAAAUUCCCAUUUCCUGAAGCAAGACCUGGGUCCUAAGACAUUAACCCAUGAGAACAUUUUACUUGCACUUGAAACCACCACGAGUUGUUUUUGUGGUUUUUACUUUAGAACAGAACUUUCUUCUUAUAUUUAGUCCUUAAAUAUGGAACACAUAUGUAAAGCCAGCCGAAGUUAUUGUUUAGAUUUUGAGAGCCAUAUGCAGACUUUAGACAUGCUGCAAACACAUGCAAACUGUUGCAUGACAGUGAAACAACAAAAACAAAACCACAGCCUAAUUUUUCUUUCAGUCAUUACUCACACUGAUAUCUCCUUUCUCCCUGAGAGGAAUCCAUAGGGAAGUAUUAACAGGAACAUGCUGUGGCUAAACCUCUUCAGAUGAAAGCAAUAGCUUUUUAAGCUUGGAUAAGAACAACAACAACAACAACAACAACAACAACAACAAAAAGAAAAAAAAAAGAAAAGUGAGUAUUAAUAAUAGAGUUCAAAAUGACCAAGAAAAGGCAUUGCAAGCCUAAGACAGGAAAUGAUAGUGAACUUUCAGAAGGUGUCGAUUUUGAAGUAAAACCAUCUUCUGUUUUCUUGCAGAGUAAAACAGAACCUGUCUCCCUCUGCUGGUCUUUAGAGAAAAAAAAAAGUUUAUAGAUACUAAAAACUGCCUGACUGUAAUUUUGAUACAAAUUACCAGUUGUUCCAAAAUUAGCUCUUAAAACUUGUUGCCUUUAAAUUUAUAGAGGUCACCAUGAGGCUGUCAGUGUCUUGAUUGGCUGAGGAUUGGUAGAUUUUUUAGUGGUUAGUCUGUUUAGGCUUAGUUUCUCAGCAUAUUUAACACAAUUUCUUUAAGAAAAUAUAACAAGAUAAAUAUAACAAGAUAAAAGCUGUUCUGUCUUUAAUUCAAACACCACUGAAUCUAGCAGCUAUGCUAAGAGCAGCCUCAUACUGGAGUUGUAGAUGUAGUUGCAUGACUUUCUUUUCCUGCAUAGUCUGAGUUGGUCUGCUUUCAAAUCCAAACUUUGUGUUGCAGUCCACACCCCAGUGAACGAAAUCCUGGGAAUUUCCACGCUGCACAAAGUGGGUGUGGGGUUUUUACCAUCUUCUGGUACAUGGCAUGGAUUCUGUGAAGAGGUCUUUGUCCUUGAAAGGACACUCUAACAAUAGACAUCAAGUUUCUUCCUUCCAGUUAGUUAAAGGCAAGCAGCAAUUCCAGUAGCUCAAGGUACUCACCUGUUAAGUUUGGGGGGCACAUAAAUGCAUUUUAUGUUGAGAAGAAAAUUAAGGACAUUUUUGCUUUAAAGUGAUUUGUUUUAGGGGGUUUAUUUGUUUGUUUUGAUGGGGUGUGUUUGUUUUUUGGGUUUUGUGUGUUUUGCUUUUGUUUUGUUUUUUACUUCCCAUGUGUUAUAGUCACCACAACACAUUUGUUAAGCUUUGUUAUGUGUAGGCGUCCUUUUGAUCUCGGUAUAUUUCAGGCUUCCUUGUAUCCUAGAUAUUGUUUAAAAAAGCAUCUACCAGUGACAGGUUGUCAUAUUUCCAGUUAAUACCAGUGUCAAUAUUGUUAGUUACACAAGCUGAUUUGGUCUUUGCAUAUGCUGUGUGUCAGUUCUUUUGGGAUGUUUGACUAUCAGCAUAGUGAGCACAGCACUUUACUUGAUAUGGGAUAAUUCAAAUAUUUGACCAAAUAUCCAAAUAUUUGACCAAAUUCUCUCAUUUAUUCUGUCUGUGGUAUGCAAUUUAAGUUGCCAUUAAAAUGUUAUUUAAUAAAUUGUAGUGUUUUUUACAAGACAUAGUUUUACCAAGUGAAAAUAUCAUUUUUAUCAUAGUUUUAUCUCCUGAAAACUGCCAAGGGCAACUGUGGCAUUUGGUCUGUGUAUCACAGAGAAGACACACAGGAACAAGACAGUGAGGCUGCUGAGACACACACCUUGUGCAGUGCUUUCACAUGGGCACAUUAGUAACUUCCUGUGUGAGAAAUACUUCAGACUGGCAUCACUUCUGCAUGUGGGAAUGGCUAACUUGUAAUCAUCCAUUCCUAAGCAGGUCUGCAGGCUAUGCCAUUGUUCCCUUCUUGAGUCAGCUCUCUAGGGAAUAGUGUCACUUUGCCUGGAAGCUCAGCUUCCAAGGCCAACCAGUUGUCUUUCUUGAAGGAGAGCUGCUGUGGCUGCCCACCUGUGGAGAGGCUAUGUGGCAUUUGACGUACAAGUGCCGAUUCUAAAACUGGCUGGUACCACUUCCAGAGUGCACCUGAUAAUUGGUAUUGGGUACUGUGGAUAUAGCUGAGAAACAAUGAAAGCAGAGGCAAAAGUGCUUGUGUUGGAGUUGCUCUUCAGUGCAACAUGCUGGCCUGUGUCACACGUAGUGUGGCCAGCAGGGUUAGGACAGUGAUUGUCCCCCUGGAGCCCACAAACAGCUGAAGUGGCACCUUGAAUCCUGUGUCCAGUUCUGAGCCCCUCAAUUCAGGAAAGACAUUGGGGUGCUGCAGCUAGUCCAGAGAAGGGUGAGGAAGUUGAAGGGUCUGAGGAACAGCUGAGGGAGUGGGGUUGUUUACCCUGGAGAAAAGGAGGCUCAGGGGAGACCUUAUUGCUCCCUACAAUGCUGAAAGGAGGUUGUAGCCAAGUGAGGGUGGGUCUCUUCUCUCAGCGACAGGACAGGAGGAAAUGGCCUGGAGUUGUGCCAGGGGAAGUUCAGGCUGCACAUUAGGAAUAAUUUCUUCACUGAAAGUGUUGUCAAGCACUGGAAGAGUGCGCCCAGAGAGGUGGUGGAAUCACCAGCCCUGGAGGUGUUAAAGUGUUAAAGUGCCAUGCCUGGCCAUGGCACUGAGUGCCACGGUCUAGUUGACAGCGCGGUGUUUGGUCAAAGGUUGGGCUCAGUGAUCUUGGAAGUAUGUUCCAACUGUAAUGAUUCUGUGACUCUGGGAAAGCAAAGGAAGUAAUAGCACACUCAGUUUGUAUUCAGUGUGAUAAUAUGAAAUCAGCGCCUGUUUAACAUGAAGUACCUUCAGAGUACCUUUAAAAAUGAGAUAGUGCUAAAAAGGAUGGGCUUAAGUUAUUAUUUUUAAAUGUGGAAUAGCAAGAAAAUUUCUUGACAAGAAGGAAAUAAUUUCCAAGUAAAGGCACAGUCAGUUCUUACAGUUAGAGUGACAUCUUGCAUUUGCGGGUUCCCAGAAGAAAAAAGGAAAUGAUGAAUCUGACUCCAUGUUCUUAGAAGGCUAAUUUAUUAAUUUAUCAUCUAUAUUGUGUUAAAGAAUGCUAUACGAAAGAAUACAGAAAGGAUACAGACAGAAGGCUAAAAGACACUGAUGAAAACUCGUGACUCUCUCCAGAGUCCAACACAGCUUGGCUGUAAUUGGCCAAUAAAUCAAACACAAUUCACACGAAACCAAUGAAACAAUCACCUGUUGGUAAACAAUGUGCAAACCACAUUCCAAAGCAUCAAAACACAGGAGCAGCAAAUGAGAUAAUAUUGUUUUCUUUUUUCUCUGAGGCUUCUCAGCUUCCCAGGAGAGAAAUCCUGCCGAAAGGAUUUUUCCAGAAAAUAUGACAGUGACAGUGACACUGAUAGGCUUGAUAAUAGACUGAAAUUCUUCACUAAUCCACAGAAUGAACCAAGUCAUGUUUCCUAUCUCAACUAGUAAGAUUCAUAUUUGAUCUACUGUCACAUAUGAUGUAAUAACAUAGUGUUGGCUAAUCAAAUAGCCAUGAUCACCGAAUCAUAGAAUGGUUUGGGUUGGAAGGGACCUUAAAGAUAUCUCAAUCCAACACGAUCUUGUUGAAACUGUUGGGUGUGGCAACUGCCUUUGUUCAGACUAAGCAGGUUAAUGCUCCUUUACUUAGCAGUGGAUGAAACACCGACAAAUGGUUAUCCCAGGACUAAACCCUGUAGCCAGUGAGUCAUAGGUGCAAUUGGGAGCAGUUUAUUGUGACCACGUGAAGGGGAAAGCAGCACAAACACCAUGGAGCUGCUUUGCAGCAGGAUCCGGGCAGAAAGACAUUGUUCCUCUGUAAAGCAUCAUUUAUGUGGGUCACUAAUUGCUCCAAGUACAGCGCUAUCCUGGCCAGGAUCACCAGAGCAGAGGAGAUGGCCAGGAGACACUACUGCCAGGACAAAAAGUCUAAAAUGUAAUCUGAAAAGAAGGUGGAUUUGGACAGACCAUCUAGAAAGGAACCUCAAGCUUUCUUUUUUUGAGUAGAUUUCUUCUGAUGAUGCCUCAGUCUGUGUUCAAAAUUGGAGCAGAAUUUGCUUAAUGAUUGUCAAAACUGGAAUGGCAUUAGAAAGGAUUGACUUCUACUCCUAAUAACUGUCACCCUGAAAAAUUCCUGAUGGCUUAGAUCACAAAGAUAGUAAGAACUCUGGUAAUUUUUUUUUAAUCUAUGUAAUUACAGUCAUGUCUGUGAUGAUUCUCCAGGAACACAUUUUGUGUCAGUCUUCCAAGUCCCCAUUUUGCUCAUGUUGAAGUCACCUUCAAGGACUUUCAUUGACCUUAAUGGUGUCAAGAUCUGUCUAGUAGGAAACGCUUACAUGCUACAAUGAUGGGUUAUGUAUAUCCACAGUAAAAAUGUAACUAACUGCCAGUAAUGUAUUCCUGACUAGUUUUUGAGAAUUCAUUUAUAUUGUAGCUUCUAAACUGAUGUGUCUUCUUUUCAUGUGUCUUCUAUGCUUCAUUAAGUGUUCUGUAUUUUUCAGAAUUUCAGUGUGCUAAAAGUGCAGAAUAAAGUACCAAUAGGUAUAAACUGAAUACUUCUCUUAUUUUAAAUAUUCUCUGAGUGGAUGGAAUAUAAAGUUAUUCCCGCUGGAAUUCUUUUACAUCUACAUUAAAAAUAAUACUG